AAUCAGGGUCUGGGUGCGCGAGCGUUUGUGCUCUGCUGGCAGCCUGUGUGGGGUGACCGCCCCGCUAGCGGGGUGUGGGUCGAGGUGCCCCGGACUGGGAGAGAAGGAGCCUCCCUCGGCCGUAGGGAUGGGGGCUGCCCUGUAAGUCAGGGAGCAUCUGUGUCCCGGAGUCCCAGGCCCUUUUCAAUGGCGGCAGUGGCCGGGGGUCCCCUGUAAGCAGGGAAGCUGACUCUUUGGCUGCUGCUUUUUGUGUGCCCAGCCCCAUUUGCCCAGUCUGCCCGCCUCUGUGAUCCCCCGCAGCACUGGCUGGAAGUCCGCCGCGUGUCAGUGAGGAGCUGCUGCAGAAGAAAGAAGAAGCGGCGUGGGGACCUGGGCUGCAAAAUCAAGAUGGGGUAUCUGUUGACUGUUUUUCUUGUAUUUCUUUGCCUUUUGGAGCCACAGUUUUGAACGGUUGUGUAAGACUUUAUCACUCUUUUUGUCAGCGUCGUCAGCUGUGAAUAAAGUUUUUUUUCCAUGUUGUUUUUCCUGU
rnacentral:lncRNA from 1 species